AAGUCGUAACAAGGUUUCCGUAGGUGAACCUGCGGAAGGAUCAUUAAUGGGUUAACGCCUUCGGGCACAAUCCCCACCCUUUGUAACUGCGGCCCGGAUUCGGCGCCUGGCGGGGAGCCCCCUCUGUUCGCGGAGGGCCCCGCCUGCCGGAAUUAGCCAACCCUGCCUAGAAAAUUGAAGUCUGAGAACAAGUUAAAUUAAACAAAA
rnacentral:misc_RNA from 1 species